AUGAACGCUGGCGGCGUGCCUAAUACAUGCAAGUCGAGCGAACAGACGAGGAGCUUGCUCCUCUGACGUUAGCGGCGGACGGGUGAGUAACACGUUGAUAACCUACCUAUAAGACUGGGAUAACUUCGGGAAACCGGAGCUAAUACCGGAUAAUAUAUUGAACCGCAUGGUUCAAUAGUUAAAGACGGUUUUGCUGUCACUUAUAGAUGGAUCCGCGCCGCAUUAGCUAGUUGGUAAGGUAACGGCUUACCAAGGCAACGAUGCGUAGCCGACCUGAGAGGGUGAUCGGCAACACUGGAACUGAGACACGGUCCAGACUCCUACGGGAGGCAGCAGUAGGGAAUCUUCCGCAAUGGGCGAAAGCUUGACGGAGCAACGCCGCGUGAGUGAUGAAGGUCUGCGGAUCGUAAAACUCUGUUAUUAGGGAAGAACAAAUGUGUAAGUAACUAUGCACGUCUUGACGGUACCUAAUCAGAAAGCCACGGCUAACUACGUG
rnacentral:rRNA from 1 species